UUAAACGAUUUUAUAUUUACACUCAGACAACAUAAUUAUGAAAGAAUUUUAGAAGGCUACUGGCGGGCACUGACCAGGGGCAGAAAUCCCCGGCGGCCCCUAAAGGCGGGCCCACCAAAGCAACAUGGUAUAGUUAACAAAGGGUUGGAGGUCGGGCCUGGAAGACCCUAACUCGGUAAUGAUCCUUCCGCAGGUUCACCUACGGAAA
rnacentral:misc_RNA from 1 species